UCUCAAGGUGAGGUCAUCCCAGAUUGGAGUGGGCCCUGACGGUGUCCUUAUAAGAGUCAGAAAAGGAGAAGUCAUGUGGGGGCGGGGGCAUGAGAGGAAGGAGGCAGAGGCUGGCAUGAUGCCUUCACAACCCGAGUGAUGCCAGGAAUUGUGGGCUGCCAUGCGAAGCUGGGUGGGAGGCAUGGAGCCGUUGCCCUCAGAGCCGCCAGAAGCAACCCUGCUGACUCUUUAAUUUCUGAUUUCUGGCCUCUAGGACUGGGAGAGACUAAUAUCUGUUGUGUGAAGCCACCCAGGUUGUGGUGAUUUGUUACAGGAGCCCUAGGAAGCUAAUACCAAAAUGGGAUAUCAACUCCUUCUAAUUGUGUUUCUUCUAAAUGGAUUUACAAUUGAGAAAAUAAGAAGGUCAACAGAGAAUUUGAAACGCUGGCAGUGUGACGCUCAGUUUCUUACAGUAAGGGCUCCCUUUCUUCGGCCAGUGCCUGGGUCGCUGCCACAGCCCUUGCCUCUCUCAGAGCCAGCACAUCUAUGCAGUGUGUCCACUCCCGUCAAGGUCCAGCUUCCACUGCUCCUCUCCCACCCAAGAGAGAAAGAGCAAAAACAAGGGGUCCGGUUUGCUGGGGAAGGUCUUACAAGUGAUUGUUGCCGACAUCGAAAGCUGAAGCCAAAUAGAGUACCACGUGUGUCUCCCUGAUCAGGGAGAAGCUGUCCUUGGGCUUCGUAACCAUCACGUUUCAACGUGUGCGCCUGUCAUGGUUCAUCUUCUCCAUAGAAGGAAGGCUUUUCAACAGAGAUGUCCAGAAGUUAAAAGAGGAAUAGACUACUUUUUCUCUUUAUAGGUAG